CAGCAGCCACGGUAAUACAGAGGAUGCAAGCGUUAUCCGGAAUGAUUGGGCGUAAAACGUCUGUAGGUGGCUUUUCAGGUCCGCCGUCAAAUCCCAGGGCUCAACCCUGGACAGGCGGUGGAAACUACCAAGCUGGAGUACGGUAGGGGCAGAGGGAAUUUCCAGUGGAGCGGUGAAAUGCGUUGAGAUCGAAAAGAACACCAACAGCGAAAGCACUCUGCUGGGACGACACUGACACUAAGAGACGAAAGCUAGGGGAGCAAAUGGGAUUAGAGACCCGCGUAGUCCCUGUCUCUUAUAA
rnacentral:rRNA from 1 species